rnacentral:rRNA from 1 species
UGCUAAUACAUGCAAGUCGAACGGACCUGAUGGAGUGCUUGCACUCCUGACGGUCAGCGGCGGACGGGUGAGUAACACGUAGGUAACCUGCCCGUAAGGCCGGGAUAACAUCCGGAAACGGAUGCUAAUACCGGAUACGCAAUUCCUUCGCAUGGGGGGAUUGGGAAAGGCGGCUCCGAUUGAAUUCGGGCUGCACUUACGGAUGGACCUGCGGCGCAUUAGCUGGUUGGUGAGGUAACGGCUCACCAAGGCGACGAUGCGUAGCCGACCUGAGAGGGUGAUCGGCCACACUGGGACUGAGACACGGCCCAGACUCCUACGGGAGGCAGCAGUAGGGAAUCUUCCGCAAUGGACGAAAGUCUGACGGAGCAACGCGCGUGAGUGAGGAGGCCUUCCGGUCGUAAAGCUCUGGUGCCAAGGGAGAAUGUGC